rnacentral:miRNA from 1 species
ACCCUUCCGGUCAACAAGGAUGUACCUCGUUGAUCGGAAGGAAACCCAUCCGAUCAGGGAGGUACAUCUACCUCUUUGAUCGGAAGGGGUUCCUUCCGAUCAACAAGGUACAUCCUCGUUGACCGGAAGGAA